rnacentral:tRNA from 1 species
CCAUCGAUAGCUCAGUUGGUAGAGCGGUGGACUGUAGAUCCAUAGGUCGCUGGUUCGAAUCCAGCUCGAGGGA